CAAUAGCGUAUAUUUAAGUUGUUGCAGUUAAAAAGCUCGUAGUUGGAUUUCUGCUGAUCGCUGUCGGUCUGCCGUCAGGUGUGUACUGGCAGUGUUUGGCAUCUAUUCGAGAUUGGGUGUCCACUUGAUUGUGUGCACUCGAUGUCGGAGCUAAUACUUUGAGAAAAUUAGAGUGUUCCACGCAGGCGCGUGCCUUGAAUACUGCAGCAUGGGAUAUUGGAAGGCCAAUUGAGCUUUCUUGUUGGUUCUCGGUUUGAUCGGAAUGAUUAAUAGGGAUAGUUGGGGGCAUUCGUAUUCAACUGUCAGAGGUGAAAUUCUUGGAUUUGUUGAAGACGGACUACUGCGAAAGCAUCUGCCAUGGAUGUUCUCAUUGA
rnacentral:rRNA from 1 species